rnacentral:lncRNA from 1 species
CUCAGCUGCUUUUCCUUCAGCCUGAGGGCUGGCUCUGGAAGGCAUCAUGAGCCCGAACCCCAUUCAAAAGAGGGGAGUAUUUACAGCAAAUUUUUCCCUGUCCUGUGGCCUAGCCUCUAGGCAGUAGGACUCUGGAGAAGAAAUUUGUUAGGCUCCUUGCUCCUCUUGCCACACUCAGAGUGGCCAGAUUCCAUUAUUUCGCAGCACAGGGGAAAAAACAGAAAUUCCAACUCAAGGUGACUUAAACCAGAAGGAAAUUACUGUCUCAAAUAACAGGUGGUCCAGAAUUCUGGGUGUUCUCUAGGAAGGUCCUGGAGCUCAACUAUGUCAUCAGGGAUGAGAUUCUUUCCCUCUGCUUUGUAUAGCACCAGCCUCAAACCAAAACUGGUUCCCUUCAAAGUUGUAAGGGAGCUGAAAUUGAGUCAUAGUUCAGUGAUCUGCAGCUCAGCCAACAUAUUUCCCCAAAAUCACGCUUGUACUUUUCCACUUAAAUGAGACGCAAGCCCAGUUCCUCAAGGAUUCCAGGGAGCCCAGAAGAGUGAAGUCAUCUCCCGUCUUGGGAUACAGCAGGCACAUCAUAGCUCUAGUUUCAUUCCCAGGAUCUGGGAAUUCAGAAGGACCUUAACCAUCCCAUCUGACUCUCCUUGGGCAAGAGAAAAAGCUUAAUACCCUCACUGUCCAUCCAUGUUGUCACAAAAGGCCGGAUAUCAUCAUUUCUUAUGGCCUGAAAUUUGCACUCGAUACCUGGAGGCACAGCAGCCAUCUUGUGACUAUGAAGUCCUCAAUUGAAAAAGAAACUAUCAUCAAAGGAUGGUGCCAACCUAGUGGGAGGCCUCUGAGGGUCUGAGUCACAGAAUCCAGUCCUCUCUCCUCAACCUAGCUCUGUGCAAGUUAUCAGUGACUCUGACAGGCAUGAGACAUGACUUCAUGUUUGAAAUAAAGAGAAAUGGAUGAUAGACGUUGAGAUGGAGGAUCUGUGCUGAGGCCUGAGGAUUUCCAGCAUCUGUUUAGCCUGGCUUUGAGGAGUUAAGAGGCCUUGUUUGGGAAGCCCUGUGGCAAGGCACUGUGGGCAGCCUCUAGGAGCUGAUGACAUCCAGGAGCUGAUGACAUCCUUGGUUGACAGCCAGCAAGAAGCCCUCAGUCCCACAAAAGAAAGGACCUGAAUUCUGCCAACAACCUAAGGAGUGCUGAUGAAGCCAUGCCAAGUGAAAAGCACAGGCAGCUGACCCAAGACUUGAUCAACACAGCAGCCAUUCGGUUUGAUUCAGUGAGCAUUUUUCCUGUCUGUCCUGUGAAAGACAUUGCCCCAGGUACUGUAAGUUUGAUGAUCUAAGAUUUAAGUCCACAGCACUUCCAUUACUGAGAAAUAGAAAGAAGGAGACACAGGGAGUGCUUGGAGCAGACGUCUCUCAUAAUUCCAGGACGUGAUAGCCCAGAAGAAGAAAGAGAUGAAAGGUGAAGUAAAAGGGAGGGAGGAAGGCAAGGAGGACAGGGACAAAGACACAAGGAGCUAAAGGGAAGAACAAAUGAGGGCUUUCACUCUUCACUGUCAAUGGCAAAAUACCUCCUCAUCUGAAUGGUUCCUGUGCUUUACCAGUGGAGGCUUUCCCUCCUCUCAUCCUUGAGUCUUCAUUCAGGCUUUUUGCAGGCAUCACUUCUCCCUCUUCCUCCAGCUGCCCCAGGCUGAUCUGAGUUCCCCUCCUGCGUAUUCUGCAUUCUGUCGUGCUGUGUUCCGCCUGCUAGGCUGGAUCUGUGAAUUCCUGCCACAUGGCGGGAGCCCCAUCCCUGUUUGCUGAAAUGGACUGCUAAAAGGUUCUGCAUCUCUCACAGAUCCAGGGUGUAAACUGAAGAGUAUAUACCUCCUGGGGAUGACUUUGCAGCAACCAAUUUCUAUGCAACUGACACAAGCAAACUUGUUGAAAUACAUCUUGGCAAUGUCUUUGUCGUUGCUCAAAAUAGCUACAAGAGAAUGUUAAAAGCCUUCUUUUUCUAGCUGUGUUGUGAAGUGGUUUAGUCAGAGCAGAACUGAAACACACAUCCCAAAGACAGUUGUAGAGAGCACCACAGUGCCUUAUGAAAG